GACGAACGCUGGCGGCGUGCUUAACACAUGCAAGUCGAGCGGUAAGGCCCUUUCGGGGGUACACGAGCGGCGAACGGGUGAGUAACACGUGGGUGACCUGCCCUCAGCUCUGGGAUAAGCCUGGGAAACCGGGUCUAAUACCGGAUAUGACUCCAUGACGCAUGUUGUGGGGUGGAAAGCCUUGUGCGGCUGAGGAUGGGCCCGCGGCCUAUCAGCUUGUUGGUGGGGUGANGGCCUACCAAGGCGACGACGGGUAGCCGGCCUGAGAGGGCGACCGGCCACACUGGGACUGAGACACGGCCCAGACUCCUACGGGAGGCAGCAGUGGGGAAUCUUGCGCAAUGGGCGAAAGCCUGACNCAGCGACGCCGCGUGAGGGAUGACGGCC
rnacentral:rRNA from 1 species